AUCUGUAUGAUUGAUAUCUCCGUCACUCACCACAGAACGAAGGACAGGAUGAUUAAAAAUCCUGUAUUUUUAAGUCCUGUGGAGGGAGACGAGACCCCAAACUUACUCUGAUUUCUCGACAGACAGCUACCAUUCACCUUAUGUUGGGUCUUCAACCACAUCAAAACCAGCUUUAGGUGAGGAGUUGAAAGAAAACACCAAAUCCCAUCUUGAAAUUUUUAUCCUUUUCUUCGCUUCCACAAAUUACAGUCAACCCCAGCCGCAGAAUCUCUGGCUUUCUGUUCUCCAAUUAUUGCUCCAACUUUUUUGAAGACGACCCAUAAUCUGAUAACCAUCAAUUCCCAAACCCAGAAGAGAUGAAUUUCAGGAGCUUGGAAGAGUUCUGGCCUUUCUAUGUGACACAACACUCAAAACCAUCAACGAGGCGUUGGCAUUUUCCAUUUCUUUGUGGAAAGGAACGUUCCUGCAACCUUUGGGCAUCCAUUUUGGUCUCUUCUAUG
rnacentral:misc_RNA from 1 species